CAAUCAUCAUCAUCAUCCUCGUUGUUGUCGUCAUCAUCAUCAUCAUCAUCAUCACCAUCCUGGACCACAAAACUGCUCAGAGGCAGAGCCCUUCCUGAGUGUGAGGAUGCUCAAGUGCAGAUGGCUGGUCUAGGUUUUGCUUCUGGAAAAUAAGAUUCAGGACCCUGCCCAGUUUCCACUCAUCCUUUAUAGGGGGAUGUUCGUGAUCACCACCCUGUGCAUAAGCCUCAGGCCUUGGCUACCUCAAGUUUGGGGUCACCACCCAGGCAAGCAUCACCCUCAACCUCCCCAACUGUUGGUGAGUGAGAUCAGGCCUCAAGUCAGAAGGAUGCCAUGCAGGUGGGGCUGGCUUGGCUUCCGCUUAUCAGAGGAGAGUAGCAAGGCAGAUACAGGAAGCGUCAAGUGAUGAGCUACAGCUGAGCGCUGUCUACCUGGGGGCCAGGAUUGGUGCAAGGAUCCCGUGAGAGUCGAGCACAUGAGGUGGACACAGAGGGAGCGGCUGUUGUGAAAUGAGAUGGCUGGAGAUUGGACUUGCCAUACGAUGGGCUUUGAAUCCCCUGCUCAAGCUUAGAACUCUUUCUUGUCUUCCAGAGGCUACUGGUAUCUGUAGAUGGAUCUUUCUGAUUCCCUUGGUCGUCCGCAGUUUGAACCAGUCUGUCAAGCUCCUCUCCUUGGGCCGUAUGUGCCUCUCCUACCCCUGCAAUUCCACGUCCCCUUGGAGAUCAUCACACCAUUCACCAUGUCCCGGGUGCUGAAGCGCCGGCCUUCGUGGUAAACCUGGACGUCCACCCUGCCAUGGUCUGUCUGACCAUGAGUAAAAGGCAAGCAGCCUUGCUUCUCUCCUGCCCCUCCACCAAACCCCAGAAGUUUCCAGGAGUCAGGCCGCCAGGACCUCCCUAGCGCAAUGCAAAGUUCCAGGCACAGUAGAUGUUUGUGGAAUUAAGGUGAACCUAAGUGGGACUCAUCCGUUAGGUUCUUUGGUGGCAAGCAAGAGAAUACAACUCUGGCCAAGAAGCUAAAACAAAGGGAAUUGGGGGUUCCUAACAGAGUCGAAGGAAGAGCUAAAGAAGCAGAUGUCGAAAAAGACCAAAACCGGGCAAAGCCUGAGAUUGGAGUCAGAGGAAUUAAGAGACUCUGCCUCUGAGAUAAAUUUCUUCCAGCUGUCUUCCAUCCUUGGGCUCUCUGCUCAAGAUGCAAAUUCUAUGGAGAGAGAGUCCAAUCACACAUGCCCAUCCAGUGGGCAAGGAAUGGUGGGGAAUUCUGAUUGACAAUGCCACCAAGAACGCCAUGCAGUGAGAGAGGGAUGAUACCUCAAGUCAAACAUGGGGUUCUGCACCAAAAGAAGGGGGAAUCAAUGGUGGGGAUGUUAAUAGCAGCAGUCUACUUUGUGUGGACAUCACCAUCCAGAUGACAGAUGUCACCAGGUAAGGGUAGCUGUGAGAAACAGGGAAGAGUCAGAUAUGACAUUAGCCAACUUAGAGAAAUGGUCACAGCAUCUUGAAGUACUAAAAACAGCGAAAGUUGUAGAUCAGGAGGAAACUAAGUUCAACACCCAGCUCUCUAUUUUUAAAAGGCUUAAUCUGAGAACCUGAACAAUGAUCCCUGAGCUUCCUGGAAUUGUGUGCAAACACGGUAUGCAAAGGCAUGCGUUAUUGUUGGUUUGUUGUGGUUGCCAUUGUUUUGGGGUGUUUUUUUGCAAGGAGAAUCCCUAGUUCCCACCGACUUGUGAAAGUGGUCUGUAAAACAUUAUGAGUCUGUUAACAAGGAGGCUGCCCUCUCUCAGACAGGCCCCAGUCAGAAUCUCCCUCAUCGGAGCUGUGGGGCGCCAUCUUGGUUGCUAUUUCUACCAGGCACAUGGAUGAGGAUGGAAAUAGCCCCACUUUCUCAAUUUGAAAAAUGAGAGUCCAGAGGAAACCGUCUCAGGCAUUUUCAGUUUAGAUGGUGAUUAUGGAUUCUUUCUCCUUGGAAAUUCCCAGGAUCUCCACAAUCUGCUCAGAACUAGGUAAAAAAUGUGGUUUUCUCUCACAGCCUACCAUGAGCGAUUUGAGCAGGGGCCAUGGCCACAAAAGGGUGCACAGUUCAGUCUAAAGUUCCCCAUCUCCAGGGAGCGAGGGCCCAGGGUAGGCACAUUUCCAAAUUUACAAGAAGCCAG
rnacentral:lncRNA from 1 species